GUCGCGUUCUAAGAAAAAUGGGCAUAAUGCAUGUGCGUAAAGUGUCGACCCACCCUAAAUUGGAUUUUUGCUAAGAAGAGACUUCAUUUAAGCGUAAAAUGUCAUCAAUGUUAGGCGGAAAGUGUCGCCCCUGAUAAUUCGUGCGGACUGCACAGGCUAAUCUCGGACGACACUUUACGCACAUGCAUUAUGCACAGUUUUCUCAGAACGCGACUCAAAUGAAGUAUAUUCAUUCGGGUCUGCUAGCGUUAUGUUAAGGGUCAUUUUAUUUGAAAAGCUGGGUUUCUGACAUAAUUUCGAUCGUUUUGCUUGUAUACACAAUUUAAUGAAACAAUGAAUUUAUUGGCGCGAUGGAACAUAAAAUUAUAAUAAAAAUACAAAAUGUAUGUACGUAGGUCAUUCGAGGAACCCCCUGUUCAUCCCGAACACGUGGGUGUUCACGAGUCCGAAGUAACCUUCAGUGUUAUGGAAUGUUCUUCCCAGCGUGGUAAAAGAAAACUAGUCUCCAGCAACGGAUUUACUUAUGUGUACAAGCGGUUUAACCCUAGCAAACAGACGACAAUUUGGCGUUGCAGCGUGCGCAACAAGACAUCGACAUGUCCCGCAAUAGUGGUGCCAUGGGUGCAGUCUUUCGUUUCGAACGAAAGUAAUCACUCCCACCAGGCUAAACCGGGCAUAGACAAGGCUCUCGUCAUCAACACCAAGGACCCUAGAUGCAAACUCGACAAUUAUUGAAUUAAAUGGAUUAUUUAUGGAUUUUAAAGGAUUAUUAAAGGUCAUUCGAGGAACCCCCUGUUCAUCCCGAACACGUGGGUGUUCACGAGUCCGAAGUAACCUUCAGUGUUAUGGAAUGUUCUUCCCAGCGUGGUAAAAGAAAACUAGUCUCCAGCAACGGAUUUACUUAUGUGUACAAGCGGUUUAACCCUAGCAAACAGACGACAAUUUGGCGUUGCAGCGUGCGCAACAAGACAUCGACAUGUCCCGCAAUAGUGGUGCCAUGGGUGCAGUCUUUCGUUUCGAACGAAAGUAAUCACUCCCACCAGGCUAAACCGGGCAUAGACAAGGCUCUCGUCAUCAACACCAAGGACCCUAGAUGCAAACUCGACAAUUAUUGAAUUAAAUGGAUUAUUUAUGGAUUUUAAAGGAUUAUUAAAGGUCAUUCGAGGAACCCCCUGUUCAUCCCGAACACGUGGGUGUUCACGAGUCCGAAGUAACCUUCAGUGUUAUGGAAUGUUCUUCCCAGCGUGGUAAAAGAAAACUAGUCUCCAGCAACGGAUUUACUUAUGUGAACAAGCGGUUUAACCCUAGCAAAUAGACGACAAUUUGGCGUUGCAGCGUGCGCAACAAGACAUCGACAUGUCCCGCAAUAGUGAUGCAGUCUUUCGUCUCGAACAAAAGUAAUCACUCCCACCAGGCUAGACCGGGCAUAGACAAGGCUCUCGUCAUCAACACCGAGGAUAACACCGAGUGUGAGCAAAACAUGUUUGAAUCCGCUGGAUCCAUCGUGAACAAGAUUUAGCCUGAUGAGGCCGAUGACCGCCUUCCAGAAGCGUCCAGGCAUGUGGGAAGCUUACGAGAGGAGAGAGUUGUCCGAAAAUGGCCUACUGAGGAAGUGCAGUGGCAUUUACGGACCAAAUGCCUGAAAGUUGUUAGAAUGCAUUGUUAUGAAUGAUUGCUAAUUUGAUUUUUUUCUAAUAAUUAGAAAUAUUGUGUGUUUAAAAUAAACUAUAUUUUCAUUUCUUCCGAACUAGUUCACCAAAGGUUUUCAUUAAAUCAUGUUUAUUUAGGGUUAAAUUGUAUAUAAUAAUAUUUUAUUUUAUUUUUAUUUAGGGUUGUAUUUGAACUCUUACAUGCCGAUUUUAUGUUUUGUAUUUUUUCUUUUCAUGUGCUGUGCCUCCGAACACAAGUGACAUUCGGAUAUGUUUUAGUGCUGUGCCUCCGAACACAAGUGACACUCGGAUUUUUAUAGUGCUAUGCCUCCGAACACAAGUGACACUCGCAUUUUUUUAAAGUUCUGUGCAUCCGAACGCAAGUGACACUCGGAUUUUUAUAGUGCUGUGCCUCCGAACACAAGUGACACUCGGAUUUUUAAAGUGCUGUUCCUUUGAACACAAGUGACACUCGGAUUUGUAAACUUUAAAUGGGAGGAGAAGCCCGAUAUAAGCCGAACCUAGCUACAAGUCGGGUGGCGCCCGAUGAUUCCCCUGCCACAGAGCAGCUAAUAUGAGUUAUAACUCGGGGGACUAGGUGCCUGAGCUACUUUCACUGAGCUGCAAAGUCAUAAUUGUCCGUAAAGUGUCUGGAUUUAAUAUGCCGUAAUUGAUGCUUGGUAUGUUUUCAAUAAAAAAAGUUAGCAUCUUGCGCAUUCUCUUUUCAUUCUCUUCAUAAAUCGUGUUAUUUCGUUUAAUAUGCCGUAAUUGAUGCUUUGUAUGUUUUCAAUAAAAAAAAGUUAGCAUCUUGCGCAUGUAAUUGUUAUAAAUGUUGGAAAUGUUUUAUUAUAUAUUGAAUUGUCUGUUCAUUCUCUUCAUAAAUCGUGUUAUUUUUUUCAUUUAAUAUGCCGUAAUUGAUGCUUUGUAUGUUUUCAAUGAAAAAAUGUUAGUAUCUUGCGUAUGUAAUUGUUAUAAAUAAUGAAUAUAAUUAUGAAUAUAACACA